rnacentral:tRNA from 1 species
GGUUCUUUGUCCGAGAGGCUUAAGGAGCAUGCCUGGAAAGCAUGUUGUCGCGAAAGCGGCACGAGGGUUCGAAUCCCUCAGGAACCGCCA